AGAUUACAGGAAACAACAGAUGCUGGGGAGGACAUGGAGAAAUAGGAACGCUUUUACACUGUUGGGAGUGUAAAUUAGUUCAACCAUUGUGGAAGACGGUGUGGCGAUUCCUCAAAGAUCUAGAACCAGAAAUACCAUUUGACCCAACAAUCCCAUUACUGGGUAUAUACCCAAAGGAUUAUAAUUCAUUCUACUGUAAAGGCACAUGCACAUGUAUGUUUAUUAUGGCACUGUUCACAAUAGCAAAGACUUGGAACCAACCCAAAUGCCCAUCAAUGAUAGACUGGAUAAAGAAAAUGUGGCACAUAUACACCAUGGAAUGCUACACAGCCAUAAAAAAGGAUGAGUUCAUGUCCUUUGCAGGGACAUGGGUGAAGCUGGAAACCAUCAUUCUCAGCAAACUAACACAAGAACAGAAAACCAAACACUGUAUGUUCUUACUCAUAAGUGGGAGUUGAACAAUGAGAACAUAUGUACACAGGGAGGGGAAUAACACACACCGGGGCUUGUCAGUAAAUGGGGGGCUAGGGGAGGGAUAGCAUUAGGAGAAAUACCUAAUGUAUAUGAUGGGUUGAUGGGUGCAGCAAACCACCAUGGCACAUGUAUACCUAUGUAACAAACCUGCACGUUCUGUACAUGUAUCCCGGAACUCAAAGUAUAAUAAUAAUAAGUAGACAGAAUAUUGGAAUGCUCCUAUAUUACUGAUAGGAAUGUAAAAUGGUACAGCCAUUUUGGAAAACAGUUUGACAGUUUCUCACCCGGAUUUCCUCAGCACCUGUCAUUAGUGGCACAUUGUAGGCCCUCAGAUUUUUGUUUAAGUCAUCUGGAGCCAUCUAAUUCUGCUUUUAAGAAGCAUGUGAGCAAGAAAGAUUCUUUCUAACACAGGGCAUCAAAUGAAGUUCAAACAUGGCCUUGGCAUGGGUGACAGAUUAUAGGUGGAUUUCAGUUACCUGAUAGGAGUUGAGAAUGAUGGAAUCUACAUGGUGGCAGAUUUACUCUCACCUCCCUGACUGUUGGCAGAGAAGGGCCUGCCUCUGGCUGGUCCAAUCUAAUAUGGAAGGAGAGGAUGAGCUGUUCUUCAGAGGCUACAGGGUUUGAAUAAAUGCAGCCAUAAAUCCCAGAAGCAGUUGCAUGUAUUAGCUUAGACAUAGGUCUUGGAGGCACAGGGUAAAAGCCUCCCCUGCCUAUGCUUGCAUUUGUGUGUUUCUUCGUUUCAUUUUUAGCUUCUAAAUAUUGAUUAGCUUUAGUGAGUGCUCACUGGCUCUUGUGGUUAUCCUACAGCUAUAGGGGGAUAAGGCCCAUGACAGUUAAAUGGCAUUCCUGGAACAGAGCAAAGUGGAAGGGGUGGUCAGGUCUGCAAAAUGCAGUUCAGCAGCAAAUGCUAUCCCGAUGUCUCCCACGUUCUCUACUGUGUACCUCCUACUAAGCUUGGGUGCUUUUUUCCUUUACAAAUGCAGACUGUUGCACUUUACAGUAAUCAGCUGAUAUGACUGCAAUGAACUAUGACUUCACUGGAUAGAAUCUUUGAAAUCAAAUGUAUUAAAUUGACUCUUCCUUUCUCAGAUAAUAAUGAGUAGACAUUCCAGCUAUAAAGAAAGAAUUAAUAGAUUCCAAGCUUUUAUAGGCUUUGGGGGCAGUAAUAAAAAAAGAGAGGAACUGGCACAGAUGCCGCUGUGCUUGAUUUCAUUCUUUUUGAGGGGUGUUAAGGUUCUUGACAGCCUCGCCAAAUGAUCCAAG
rnacentral:lncRNA from 10 species